GGUGAGGCCGGCUCCUGACCCGAGGGGGGCCCCCACGCCCGCUCUGGCCUCUCGGGUCAGGCCUUCCCCUCCCCUCCCCCGCCGCCUGUUUCUCGGGAGCCGGCUGUGUGCGUGUGAGAGCCCGCCCGCCCGUGGGACCUUCCCUUUUGUUCGCCCUGACCUCUACCUUCUCUACGUUGUGCUGACCCCGCUGGGGUGCAGGGGCUCCCUGCGGAGGAGGCCGGGCUCAAGGUGUGCAGCUUGGCUGCCUCUCCCUAACUCUGCACCAGCGCCUCCUCUCUCUCUCUCUCUCUCUCUCUCUCUCCUCUCUCUCUCUCUCUCUCUCUCAAGAUCUCCCUCCCGCUAGGUCUGCGCUGCUGCAGGAGGGCUGGGGGAAGGGCAGGGGUGUGGAGACGGGGUGCCUGGUGUCUUCUUUCUCUCUCUGUCCCCCUCAAGUGCAGACGCAUGGAUCCCGGCCCCCACCCCUGCCUUCGCGAUUGGCUCCCGGAGGAGGUGGCUGGUGCGGCUGCUGCUGCAGCAUCUCCUAGGGAGCCGCGACCCUGUGCCUGCCGCCGCUGUCACCAGCCUGGCCCCAGGGGUGCCCCAGGCUGCUCGGGACUCUCUGGAGGCCACUUAGGCACGUUACCGUGGGGGCCAGGACUCUCAGAGCAAAAGGAGCCUGGACUGGGCUGGGGGGCUGAACACGGGACACCUACCCCCUUGGGACUUGCCUGCCGGCUCGGGGACCCAGGUGAGUUUGUGUGACUGUGAGGAGGUGGCCAGUGCCCGUGUGUCUCUCUCCCCGGAGCAGGCAGCACCAGGGGGAGGCUCCUGGUUUCCAGAACACUCUGGAAACUGCCCCAGGGCGAUCGGAGGGUGGCCAGGCUCCUGCUGGUGGAAAUUCUGGAGCCCAUAAAUUCAGUGGACCAAGUUAGUGACAUUGUUCUGUUCUGUGGCUCACAAAAGCUAGCCAUGCUCCAGGUGAGGUUUCCACCCAGCGGGGACACCAGCUCUGGGUCUUGGAGCUCGAAGGAGGAGGACGGCCUUUGGGAAGGGUCGGCCCCACCGCUGUGCCUGCGCGCGUGUAAGUGGUGAUGAGUGGACCUGCGUUUCCGCAGCAGGUGGACAAGGACACGGUGGCACCUCCUUCUGAAGAAGGGGUGGCUGGUGAUGCCGGCUUGCCAGUGCUUUCAUCUAGAGCAGGAAAGCAUUUUCUUGCAGAAGCCUUCGAGGCGGGCGCAGGGGCUGGUGAGAGCGUUUGUGAGAGGUGCGUUGGCAGCCUGUGUGAAACUGCCGCACUCACGUGAGAAGCGUUGCAUCUCCGAAUGAACUGCUAUUAAGCAUGAUUAGAUUGACCACAGGACGGAUAGUUUAGCUGCUGCAGCUGGAGUCCAUCAAAAUGAACAUUGCUUGAAUUGCAAAUUUUACCCAAAAAGUGCUCAGAAGUAAAAAUGAGGGAACCCGAGUGGCUGGGCUAUCUUCAGGGCCUGGGCGUGGCUGGGCAGUGCUGGCCUGGAGGUUUCUGGACAGGGACGGCCAGAGGCGGACAGGGCGGUGCCAUCGUGCGAGUUGCUGCCACCUUCGCAUAAAGGGUAACCCAGCAAUCUGAGAGGCUUUGUGCUGACUCAGCCCCGCGUGCACGUCCGAUUGCAGAGGCCUCCCGUGCUCUCUGCAGCCCCGCUCCCGCCUCUGCUGCCCCUGGGCAGGACGCUGACCUCGGGGUGGCUGGGCUUGGGCCCCGGCAAGGGAGACUCUCGGAUGGGUGCGCAGGGCUCUGUGAGGCACCUGGCCUCGCCUGCUGUCCUUGGCCAACCUGCAGCCUCUGUCCCUGUGAACUGGAGGCAUCGCACCCGAGAAGAGGUGGGCAUGGCUCUUGGGAAGGGAAGGUGCCUGCAGACAGCAACGGCAGCUCCCGGAGCCUGGUGCCAGCCGUGCCUUCCUGAGGUCCAGGGCCCAGCUGGCCAGAGCUUGGGCUGGGAGGUCCCUCCCAGGAGGCCCCUGGGUGCCCAGGGAGGACUCUGCCUUUGGGGAGGACUCUGCUUUUGGUGCUCAGAGUCCCCAGCCGGCUCUGACCCCUGGAAGGCCAUCCUGCCGCGUGGGGAGGAGCAGCGGCUGCAGCGGGGAGCGGGGAGCCGGGAGCGAGGAGCGGGGCAGGCUGCUGCUGAGCUGCCGCGGGUUGCUGCAGAGCAGUGCAGGCAGAUGCAGGGCCGUGCGUCUCAAGGGCAGGAAGCAGAGGGCCACCUCUGGCAGCUCCACCGCCGGCUCCCUUAGAUAGAGGGACGCAGGGCUGAGGUUCCCGCUCAGCCGUCACCACAAAGGCCCCGUGAGCUUGGCCAAUUCACCCAGGUUUUGGAGGCACCACUAAGCCUCAGGCCAGGGCUACUUUCUGCGCCGGGUGGGCCGCUCCAGUGCAGUGCAAGUGCGUGAGGCUGAAGGACAGGGAUGCUGGGGGCACACUGCUCCUCUCAGGCCUCCUGCGUCCACCCCAGGAAGAGGACAAGGGAGACAGGGCUGUUUCAGCAGUGCCGGGUGCAGAGGUCACUGGCUGCUCCCUGGCUGGGAGGCGGCCACCCAGCAGCCCUGGCGGUUGGGAGUCUGGGGUCCACUCCCCACAGGGUCAAGCAACUCCUUGGCUGGGACUGGAGGCGGUGUGCCCGCGUGUGUUUGCAUGAGCGUGCACGGAGGGCGACUUCCGGAAUGAUGGGGACAACGACCUAGAGUAUUUUUAACAGUGGCAGGAGAGGGGGUAGAAGGCAGCUGUCCCUGGAACCUGUCCCGGGGGGCCCCGUGGGGACUUUCUGAGGUUGAAGGAAGGACGCCCAGGACAGUUGCGCCGUGUGGCUCUUGUCAUCCUGGCAAGCCGAUGCCCUCCAUCAUGCCCAGAUAUGGCUCCGGGCGGCAUGUGUCUGCCCAGCCGCCUGCCCGCCCACCCGCCCACCACGCCGGUAUAAAUAGUCCGAAGUUCUCAGCUGUCCUGUGGAAAGGCUGAACUCGGAUGACUCUGCCCGAGCCGGAGGAGUGCCCCCGACCCCGCCCACUGCCCAAGUGCCUGAGGCCAGCAGCUGCAGCGGGACUGGGCUGUGAGGCUCUGGCUCUGUCUCUGUCUUCCCUUCCUCACCUGCCCCCUUGGAGAACACCAAGUCCAGGAGGGACCCAGCUACCUCUUGUGGUCCCUUCCCCAGGGCAUGGCAGGGCCUUUGCCCACCAAGAGUGAAGAGGGACAAGAAUCACAGCCCUGGGAGUGGGUGCGGGGAACUGCCUGAUUCCUUGGCCUCGGGCUCAGGUCUGCGGCAGGGAGGCUGUCGCUGGAGUCCCUGCUGCCCCUCCCUCCAGUACCUCCUCACCUGUCCCGGCUUCCCUCCCUCAUCAGCUACAGCAACACACUCCAGAGGCCUUGCAGCCCCGAGCACCAGCUUGCCAGGCCCCUUCCCUGGGGAACCUGCUUUCCCUCCACCCUUAACUCAAGAAGUGACUCUCUAAUGGUGGAAUUUCAAACACUUCCAAGGUCCGUGGAGCUGACGCCCUUAAGUGGGGGCAGGAAUCCUCAUCCUGUGCUCCUCAGACAGGGGCUGCUUCGCCCGGCCCGAGGACAGAUGGGGACACUUCCCACAAUGACUCUGCACACUGGGAGGCCUCACUGAGCCACAGGGAGGGCAGAGAACGCUUUGGAAGCAGCAAGAGCCGAACACACACUUGUGUGUGAGGCUGGGGCCUUCCUUGGUGUCCCAAGGCCUGCGGUGGCCACACAGAUGCCCCUGUCAUUUCAUCUGUGGCCAUCCCAGAGUUCUGGGCUCUGUGACCUGCUUCUGUGGGGAGUAGUGGGCAGGUGCCCUCCCCCUUCAGGAGGGGCUCCAGUCAGACUCUGUGCGCCAAGUGGCUUUUCCUUACCCUGGGACAUGUGUCUCUCAUCUGUCCCCGAGCCACCCGGCCCUCUCUCUUGACCUCAGGGCUCUCUGAUCUGUUUUCAACCAACAGCAUUCUUCAAAUUAAACCAGCUUUUGCCCCAGCCCUAUCUUUGCGAUAAUAAGACACAAACGUCUAUCUUGCCAUUUUUGCAAAGAACAGCAAAACAAUCACGUGCCUCUCCCGCCCCUGCCUCCCUCCCGCCUGCCCCCUGCUCUGCGGGUCUAUUUGAGGCGAAAUUUAUCUCUAGAAGGGCCCCAUCAAUUUGCCUUGCUCUUUUGUUGACAAGUUUAUUAAAAACCCGGGCAACUCUGUAUUAAACUUUUAUCAGUGUUGAGAAAUAAUACAUUUCUUUUUCUGAACAGAUAGAAAAGUUAUGGAAUUGGGCUGAGCGAGCCUCGUUCAGCCUUUGGCUGAGUCAGCGUUGCUGAUGAUAAGGAACAAGCCAUUUUGGGGUGCAGGGUUUCCUCUUGCCUUUUAACUAGAGGCCUCUCUGGAGACUGCCGUGUGAGAGCCAGUGCCCCCCACUGAACCCUGAAGGCUCCUGUGGGAACCCCAACGGCGGCUGCCCAUACCACCUGGCUAACUGCUAUCUAUUUUGAUAAUUAACCAAAAUCCAAAGUUGAA